AGGACGAACGCUGGCGGCGUGCUUAACACAUGCAAGUCGAGCGAUGAAGUUCCUUCGGGAAUGGAUUAGCGGCGGACGGGUGAGUAACACGUGGGUAACCUGCCUCAUAGAGGGGAAUAGCCUUUCGAAAGGAAGAUUAAUACCGCAUAAGAUUGUAGUUUCGCAUGAAACAGCAAUUAAAGGAGUAAUCCGCUAUGAGAUGGACCCGCGUCGCAUUAGCUAGUUGGUGAGGUAACGGCUCACCAAGGCGACGAUGCGUAGCCGACCUGAGAGGGUGAUCGGCCACAUUGGAACUGAGAUACGGUCCAAACUCCUACGGGAGGCAGCAGUGGGGAAUAUUGCACAAUGGGCGAAAGCCUGAUGCAGCAACGCCGCGUGAGUGAUGAAGGCCUUCGGGUUGUAAAGCUCUGUCUUUGGGGACGAUAAUGACGGUACCCAAGGAGGAAGCCACGGCUAACUACGUGCCAGCAGCCGCGGUAAUACGUAGGGUGCGAGCGUUGUCCGGAAUUGUUGGGCGUAAAGAGCUUGUAGGCGGUUUGUCGCGUCUGCCGUGAAAAUCCGAGGCUCAACCUCGGACUUGCGGUGGGUACGGGCAGACUAGAGUGUGGUAGGGGAGACUGGAAUUCCUGGUGUAGCGGUGGAAUGCGCAGAUAUCAGGAGGAACACCAAUGGCGAAGGCAGGUCUCUGGGCCACAACUGACGCUCAUGCACGAAAGCGUGGGUAGCAAACAGGAUUAGAUACCCUGGUAGUCCACGCCCUAAACGAUGUCAACUAGGUGUUGGAUGGGUAAAACCAUUUAGUACCGGAGCUAACGCGUGAAGUUGACCGCCUGGGGAGUACGGCGCAAGGUUAAAACUCAAUGAA
rnacentral:rRNA from 1 species